GACGAACGCUGGCGGCGUGCUUAACACAUGCCAGUCGAACGGAAAGGCCCUGCUUGCAGGGUACUCGAGUGGCGAACGGGUGAGUAACUCGUGGGUGAUCUGCCCUGCACUUCGGGAUAAGCCUGGGAAACUGGGUCUAAUACCGGAUAGGAGCCAUUUUUAGUGUGAUGGUUGGAAAGUUUUUUCGGUGUAGGAUGAGCUCGCGGCCUAUCAGCUUGUUGGUGGGGUAAUGGCCUACCAAGGCGGCGACGGGUAGCCGGCCUGAGAGGGUGGACGGCCACAAUGGGACUGAGAUACGGCCCAGACGGCUACGGGAGGCAGCAGUGGGGAAUAUUGCACAAUGGACGCAAGCCUGAUGCAGCGACGCCGCGUGGGGGAUGACGGACUUCGGGUUGUAAACUCCUUUCGCUAGGGACGAAGCUUUUUGUGACGGUACCUAGAUAAGAAGCACCGGCUAACUACGUG
rnacentral:rRNA from 1 species